GGAGAGAUGGUUCAGUGGUUAAGAGCACUUGCUGCUCUUGAAAAAGACCUGGGUUCAAAUCCCAGCCCCUACA
rnacentral:tRNA from 1 species